CCCGCUGAACUUAAGCAUAUCAAUAAGCGGAAGGAAAAAGAAACUAACAAGGAUUCCCCUAGUAACUGCGAGUGAAGCGGGAAAAGCUCAAAUUUUGAAUCGGCGGUCCUCUGAGGGCCGUCCGAGUUGUAAUCUAGAGAAGCGUCGUCCGCGCUGGCCCGUGUACAAGUCUCCUGGAAGGGAGCGUCAUAGAGGGUGAGAAUCCCGUCUCUGACACGGACCACCAGGGCUAUGUGACACGCUCUCGACGAGUCGAGUUGUUUGGGAAUGCAGCUCAAAACGGGUGGUAAACUCCAUCUAAAGCUAAAUACUGGCGAGAGACCGAUAGCGAACAAGUACCGUGAGGGAAAGAUGAAAAGGACUUUGAAAAGAGAGUUAAACAGUAUGUGAAAUCGUUGAAAGGGAAACGCUUGAUGUCAGUCGCGUCGGCCGGGGGUCAACCUUGCUUCACCGCUCGGUGUAAUUCUCGGUCGACGGGUCAGCAUCUGCUUCGGUCGUCGCACAAUGGCGGGGGGAACGUGGCACUUUGGUGUGUUAUAGCCCUCCGUCGUCUGCGGCGGUUGGGGCCGAGGACUCUCAGUGCUUGCCGCUGAGAUGCUGGCGUAAUGGCCUUAAGCGACCCGUCUUGAAACACGG
rnacentral:rRNA from 1 species